AUGGAGAAAUGGUGGCUUACCUCGGUCCCAGCUUUGCUAAUAAAUCUGGAGCUGGUGGGAUGGAGAACCAGUACAAAAUGCCAAGUCAGCACAUUUCUCGUACCAGCAAAGGCCUUUAUCAGUUGGGGAGGAAGGGCUGAAGUCACCAGUUUUAGUUUCUGCAGCUCAGUUAGAGGCCACAGAAUGGAAAGAGACUGGAAUUCAGAUGACUUGGGCACAAGCAAUGGUUCCACCAUUAAUUCACCAUCUGGCUCAGUAAUUAGUGUCUCCCCUUCCUCAAUUAUUUUGUCAAUAUUUUGUAUGUAUUUUACACAGUAAAUGCCUAAUGCUUACUGAUUGAUUGACUUUCUGACUGGAACAUGAGUCGCUUCAUUUGGAUCUUAGUUUUCUCUGUAAAAUGAAGGGUUGAACUAGAUCAGUAAUUCUAAACCUGGGUACAUGUCAAAGGGCCUAUCAACUUGGAUGGGGGAAAAUGACAUCUCCAUAUUUUCUCUAACCUCUAACUGAAAUUGAGCAUUUCCUUCAGUGAUGGAUGUGAGUAACAGACACAAUUCUGAGACAGGGUCCCUGUCUUUCAUCAGAUUGCUAAAGAGAUCCAUGACACAUGGCUCAGAUCAUUUCUCAGGUUCUUUGGUUUUUUGAUAUUUAAUAUUCUAAGGUUCCUUUCAUUUUUCUCUAAUCUCUGAGCUCAGAAGGGCAUACCUCAUUAGGUGACUCACUCAAGGAAACCCAAUUUCUUUAGGGGCCAAAAAACUGAAAGGGUUACAGAGGGCCUCUUUAUGUAAUCACCAGUGUGCCUUCAGAAUCAUUUAAGAUAGCCAUAAUAAUUACAAAACUGGGUUCAAAUCCUGCCUCUGACAUUUACUACUUAUGUGACCUUGAGGGACUUAAAUAUUUUCCCUGGGCCUCAGUUUCCUCAUGUGUAAAAUGAAGGGGUUUGCUCAAAAGGUCUUUGAGGUUCCUUCUUACUCUAUAUCUGUUCCUAUGAAAUAUAGCUCAUCUUUAUAUAAUGCUUUACAGUUUAAGAUGAUUCCUCAUUCAUUCUAUUGUUUAAUCUUCCCCAAAACUAGUCAAAUCAUGUCAACAAGCAUUUUUAAGAACCUACUAUGUGCCAAGCACUCUGCUGAUCUCUGAAGGAAUGAAGUCAAAAAGCAGUCUCACUCUAAAGUAGUCCACAGGCUAAAGGAGAAGACAACAUGAAAUGACUGUGUGCAAACAAGCUAUAUACAAAUAAAUUGAGGGUGAUCUUUGAGGGAAGGCUUUAG
rnacentral:lncRNA from 1 species